UGGAAUAGCUCAGCAGGUAGAGCAACGCCCUCGUAACGCGUAGGUCGCAGGUUCGAACCCUGUUUCCAG
rnacentral:tRNA from 1 species